rnacentral:lncRNA from 1 species
AGGCUUCAAGCAUGGCUCUGCUAAUCCGCCCCGCACGCGCACCCGCACGCACAGCCCCGGCGGCGGCACCGAGGAGGAUCCCGACGGCCGCAGCAGAUGGGAGAGCUCCGACACCGCUCAUCCCACGCCUCCUUGGAAGCGGGCGAUUGAAGCCCGGGGAUUUCUACUCGUUUUCUCGGAGCCCCCCCCGGCCCCCACCCGAGGGAUGGAUGCUCUCGCGUUGGAGAUGCCGGCGCUCGGGGCUUCGCUGGGCUGAAAUUGAGGAGCGUUUGUAGAACCCUUCCCUAGGACGCCAUGGUUCCCCCACGCUGAGCCCUAUCCUCGCUGCUGUGCUGUGCUGUGUCACCUCUCCCUGCUCCUUCUUUCACAGUGCCGACAGAUCCGAGCUGGAGCUGCUGACUCCCGCGUGGAGCUGUGAUUCCUUCCUGGGGUUUGUGCUAUUUCCAGCUCCUGUUGCCCCCAUUCCUGUGACGCCCAUCCCUGUGUGCUGGGAGCAAACCCUGGUUGGGAGCACGCUGCGCUCUGCUCCGUUUGCAGCCGCUUUUCCCACGCUAUAGGACGGCCCAGGGCAUAUCUUGCAUGGCACCAACGCUCAGCUCUGCGUGAGCUGCUGAGGCAGACGUGGAUCUGCAGGAUGAGCAGAGCUGCAGGCAGAGGUACUGCUGGCAUCAGGGGGUGGCUGCGGUGGGUUUGGGGUUUGCACUGCUGUGAGCGCUGCGCUUUGCAUUCC